rnacentral:rRNA from 1 species
GAUGAACGCUGGCGGCGUGCCUAAUACAUGCAAGUCGAGCGAACAGACGAGGAGCUUGCUCCUCUGACGUUAGCGGCGGACGGGUGAGUAACACGUGGAUCACCUACUUAUAAUACUGGGAUAACUUCGGGAAACCGGUGCCAAUACCGGAUAAUAUAUUGAACCGCAUGGUUCAAUAGUGAAAGACGGCUUUGCUGUCACUUAUAGCUGGAUCCGCGCCGCAUUAGCUAGUUGGUAAGGUACCGGCUUACCAAGGCGACGAUGCGUAGCCGACCUGAGAGGGUGAUCGGCCACACUGGAACUGAGACACGGUCCAGACUCCUACGGGAGGCAGCAGUAGGGAAUCUUCCGCAAUGGGCGAAAGCCUGACGGAGCAACGCCGCGUGGGUGAUGAAGGUCUUCGGAUCGUAAAGCUCUGUUGUUAGGGAAGAACAAAUGUGUAAGUAACUAUGGACGUCUUGACGGUACCUAAUCAGAAAGCCACGGCUAACUACGUG